CGUGGGGUUAGCCAUUCUAUGGCCCAACAAGCCAUCCAACCUUCUCCAUCUCCGCCUCUUCCCCGAAGCGCAGUCACGCUCUCGCUCCUCCUCCAUCUCCGCCUCCUCCCCGAAGCACAGCCACGCCCUCGCUCCUCCUGAAGCGCCGCCAGCCCACCUCGAUCUCCGCCGCCACCUCCCACCCCUACCUCCGCGGUGGUCCUGCGCCCCCUCUACCCCGACCUCCAGCGACACUCCUCCCAUCCCGAUCUCCACCAAUGGUCCUGCGUCCUCACCGCCCGACCUUCGGAGAAGCUCCGCUGACCCACCUCCCUCCCCGUCCUCCGCUGCGCUCCCGCGCUCUUCACCGUGGUCACGCCCCCAUCCAUGCCGGUAGUUCAUGCUGGAUUAGGAGGUUGUACACGUACGUCUAUAUUUAUGUUCAAGUCGAGCUUCGUGGAUCUGAAGGCAUAUACUUGGAGUAUAUAUCUAGCAUAUCAAGCUACCGGAGACAACCAGUACUUCAUUGAAAUAAUAACAACAAUAUCAUCGUUUUGUCCAAAUGACAUCGUCCAUGUAUACUGAUGUGGUUGGCACUCACCACAGGUAGUCGCUCCCCCCAUAGAUGAACUGUUUUAUCUCUGUAGCUAUUUUUGAAUAAAACUGGUCAUGUAUAGCAUGCAUACCUUCUGGCUAUAUAGAAGUCGAGGUGCCUAUGUGGGCUGCAAAAAUAGAGGGCGUCCCCGACUUGGAUUUUGUGUCCUGCUUGAGCACGUCAGUAAUUAAUGGGCGUUGGACAUGGACUCCACAUGGAACGCUCUCUUUGACACAUAAACGAUGGCCUCAAGCCCCUAUGUGGAAGUAUUCAGCCUUGCCGUUCUACCAUUUUCUCUAUAAGAACGAUGUACAAUUUUGACGGAACACUAACCACCAGUGCUACACCCGAGGUACACCAUUGUAUAAUCUACAUGCCAAACCAUGAGUAAAGUAGCAAGCUAUUAUGUUUCAAAAUUUAUUUGGAAGAGCAUGUGUUUUGGGUUUUAUACUUCACCAUGAUCUUUUACUGUGUGCCUGCAACCAUAGCUUCUAUCGUCAUUAACUUGCCAUAUACGGAUAGUCUGCAGAGUUUACAAACAAGAGUGAAACCAAUAAUGAUGGUUGAUGAUUAUGGUAUGAUUGCCGGAUUAAUAAUUCAGAACAAGAAAGCUAUUUUACUGGAAAAGCUGCUCCCGCGCUCUUCACCGUGGUCACACCCCCAUCCAUGCCGCUCUACUCCCUGAACAACCAUGAGAGCGCCGCCAUCCUGCGAUGGGAGCAAGUCGAGGUGCCUAUGCGGGCUGCAAAAAUGGAGGGCGUCGCCAACUCUGAUGUUUUUUCCUGCUCAAGCACGUCAUUAAUGUGUGUUGGAGAUGGACUCGACAUGGAACACUCUCUUUGCCACAUCAAAGAUGGCCUCAAGCCCCUAUACAGAAGUAUCCAAUCUUGUUGUUCUACAAUUUUCUCUGGAACAACGAUGUACAACUUCGACGGAACAGGACCGCCAGUGCUCCACUUGAGACGUUAUAUAAGCCACAAAAUCACACUGCUGGUCACAACACUAACAGCAGGUCAAAUCUUGGUGCUGCACCAGUUAGGCAUGUAGUAUGCAAGUUUAGAGAUGGAUAUACCAAGUUUACUAUGAACUAAAGCAUGACAGGUUUGACAAACAACACACAUUUGUAUUAAUUCGGCAGUUCAUUAGAUAUGAUCAGCAAGAGUUGUCUGUGAUGUAUAUGUUAUGGAUCAGCGCACAGGUAGUUAAUCUAUCUUUUUUGCCAUUUAGUAAAUUCAAGCCCUUAAUAUGAUGCUCUGAAUGUCAUACAUAGUUAGCUUCAGAUUGGUAGUGCAUCUCAUAGUGAUUUUUAUAACUGAAGUUGAUCAUAAUCACUGUGUACAGAGCAUUUCAAUGUGUUGUUCAAUAAAUUACAGAAAUUAGAAGUAUGCCUAUUAUUGUAACAUAUUGUAGUAAGGUAGUGCCACUUCCAAGAAUCAAAUGUAUUUUAUGUCCUGACAAGUUUAUCCUUAAAUGUAUACUACAAAGGGAUCAGUACUGAUUAAUUGGCAAUUUACUAUGUUUCAGAAUAAGUGAAAUUACUUCUGGUGUUGCAAUGUAGCUAGAUUGGAGAGAAACAUGAUAGCAUCUUAAUAAUCCAGUAAGAUCGUAAACCAGUUUUUUAACGGGGGCAGUUUUUCGGUUGGACGGAAGUAACUCCACUCGCUAGGAGGGCUUGGUGGUAAUAUACAAGGCCGUGAAGCAUUUUUCAUGUAACUGGUAGUGAUCUAAGUCACAUGUUAUUACAAUGGAUGCUACUACAACAUUUCCGUAUAAAUGUAUGCCACUGAUCUUUGCAUAUAUAUUACACUCCCUUUGUAAAUAAAUAUAAGAUGUUUUAAUAUGUUUCUACUA